rnacentral:rRNA from 1 species
UACGGAGGGUGCAAGCGUUAUUCGGAAUCACUGGGCGUAAAGGACGCGUAGGCGGGAAGCCAAGUCUGAUGUGAAAUCCUAUGGCUUAACCAUAGAACUGCAUUGGAAACUGGUUACCUAGAGUAUGGGAGGGGGAGAUGGAAUUAGUGGUGUAGGGGUAAAAUCCGUAGAUAUCACUAGGAAUACCGAAAGCGAAGGCGAUCUCCUGGAACAUAACUGACGCUAAGGCGUGAAAGCGUGGGGAGCAAACAGG